CAGAGUAGGAACGGCGCGUUAAGUGCCAUGGGAUGGGAAGUUGCCCAUGGACGAAGGGAGUAUAUCUUCCGCGGUGCCGUCUCCGCGUCCGCUGC
rnacentral:ncRNA from 1 species